rnacentral:autocatalytically_spliced_intron from 1 species
GUAAGCCGUAUGCCUUAAUAGGGCACGUACGGUUUGAUAAGGGGCGGUAGUUUAAUGACUAUCGCCUACUUUCU